CCUACUUGCAAUUUUAGCUUGUAAAAUAUGUUUGUUUUGAAAAAAAAAAGUUUUCUUAGGUAACGCGAAGUAUGAUGCCACCUAAUGUUUUCUCUGUCGCGAUAAAAAUUUUUAGAACCAUCUUUAUAGUGUAAGGCCUUUGAUUUCAUCUUACCAUAACCAGCUUUAUUGUUCUUACUAUAAUUAUCGGUCGUGUUCGUUAUAGAAUCAACAAUGCUGAAAGAUAUAACAUCUAAUGUAUACAACAAAUCAACACUUACUUCCUAAAUAAUCCUUUAUAUAAUAUUUUUGGAACGAAAUGGAAUAGUGGAGAUGAUACGUCUCUUCAAGUCAGGCACGUGUAUGGAAAUGAUCUUGGCAUUUCAUAACUUUUGCAUCAUAUCGUGUCGGGUGACUCAGAACUCGAAUCUCAUCAUCAUAGCUAUAUUAGACUGACGACCUAUAUAGUUUUUUAUUUGGAUGUAAGGAGUUUGCUUGAUCUUAUCUUUAAUUUUGUUUGCUUUUUGUGGUCUAUAAAUAAUUCUGCAAUUCAAAUUACCUUCCAUAACCUCACAGCGACCAUAGCAACGAAGAUGUCCACACCAUCACCUGUGCGUUUAUUCUGUGGAGCUUGGCGCCGUAAUGAUGAUGGGUAUUGGAUUUUCCAGAGGAAGCCAAGUGACCUUGGCUAUAGGGUGUUAAUCAAACCGACAGAGACGUUUGAAGGUUUAGAGACUAUCAUCCGUGACCGUUAUAAUUUGAAACCUGAGACUCCCUUGUCACUAGCUUAUCACCCACCUGAGUGGAUGCUUGAACCUGAGGGAACUCGAACGCCGCCGACAACGAUCACUAAAACUUCGGAAGUGGAAGCAAUGAUGCGUCUUCCUUUCUUGGUACUGCGUAUCAUCGGGUCCUGAAGAUGUUGCAUAUUACCAGUUUCUGACCAAAACAACUUUCUCAAUUGGAGGUCUAGAUGACCGUGAACUUGUUGCAAGCAAGAAGGUUCUCGAGGAGAUUUUUAACGAGCAAGAGCUUGUAGGAAUCUACAGAGCCCAUCUUGAAAUUGAAAAGGCUAAACAGGAUCGCUGUGGAAAUGGUGCAUCUGGCAGUGGUUCCGCUGCUCCAGUUGCAAAAGAAGAAUCUGGUUCUUCUCCAUCUGGAUCCGAUGCGUGAACUCAUCUGGUUGAACGUUGUUGGUCAAAGUCUCCAAGAAUAAGGCAUUGAGUGUCCUCUCAAAGUUGAACUUGCUUCUCGUUUAAGCUAUGUUAUCUGAAUAAAUGUAGUCUGUUGUAUUAUUCUAUGCAUGUGCGGAUUAAAAUGUUGGUUGUUUGUGUUUAUUAUGUUUCAUGUGUUCCUUGUACUGGACAACACUUAUUUUCUAUGUAUGUGUAAUAUGAAUCGUUUAACUUUUUUAA